rnacentral:rRNA from 1 species
AUUGAACGCUGGCGGCAUGCCUCACACAUGCAAGUCGAACGGUAACAGAUCUUCGGAUGCUGACGAGUGGCGAACGGGUGAGUAAUACAUCGGAACGUGCCUAGUAGUGGGGGAUAACUACUCGAAAGAGUGGCUAAUACCGCAUGAGAUCUACGGAUGAAAGCAGGGGAUCGCAAGACCUUGUGCUACUAGAGCGGCCGAUGGCAGAUUAGGUAGUUGGUGGGAUAAAAGCUUACCAAGUCGACGAUCUGUAGCUGGUCUGAGAGGACGAUCAGCCACACUGGGACUGAGACACGGCCCAGACUCCUACGGGAGGCAGCAGUGGGGAAUUUUGGACAAUGGGCGCAAGCCUGAUCCAGCAAUGCCGCGUGCAGGAUGAAGGCCUUCGGGUUGUAAACUGCUUUUGUACGGAACGAAAAGCCCUGGGUUAAUACCCUGGGGUCAUGACGGUACCGUAAGAAUAAGCACCGGCUAACUAGGUGCCAGCAGCCGCAGUAAGAC